CAUAAACCGGCUGCAGGGAAACACAGGGCUGCACAGACAGAUGGGAGAAAAGGAGAACACCGUUCCCAAAUCCUUAUCUGAACCUUCAUGUCUCAUUAAAUUAUAUUAUGGAUACAUACAACGCUGCGCAUUGGAUCUCCUCUUCUUCCACCACCAACAACAGCCGUUACAAAAUCACCCACCAACCAAGGACCAAGCAGCGUGGUAACGGGCAGUGGCAGAAAUCUCAAGACUCCUGGAGAUUCUGGACAGCAAGGGACCCUGGGCACAGGCUGGGGAUUAUCGCCGCCCCAGGGAAGAGCUGGAGGCAGCCAAAGCAGAGCGGCGGCAUUUUGAGGAGUUGGCACGGCAGUGCAACAGAGACGAGAGGCAGACCCAAAAAUGACAAUGACCCAAAACACACCUCCAGGCUGUGCAAGGGCUAUUUGACCGAGA